rnacentral:rRNA from 1 species
GACGUAGGGCGCGAGCGUUGUCCGGAUUUAUUGGGCGUAAAGAGCUCGUAGGCGGCUUGUCGCGUCGACUGUGAAAACCCGCGGCUCAACUGCGGGCCUGCAGCCGAUACGGGCAGGCUAGAGUUCGGUAGGGGAGACUGGAAUUCCUGGUGUAGCGGUGAAAUGCGCAGAUAUCAGGAAGAACACCAAUGGCGAAAGCAGCUCUCUGGGACGGUACUGACGCUGAGACGCGAAAGCGUGGGGAGCGAACAGG